rnacentral:lncRNA from 1 species
CCUUUAUUUUAACUCUUAAAGCAAAAUCAGAUUUUACUAUUACUUGUAUGACCCUUUUCGUCAUACCAAAAUAACUCCUCUAUCAUUCUUGCUUUUAUUUAUAAAUUAUUAAUCAAAACAAUUUUCUAACACAAAAUUUAAAGUUUUGAUUUAUAUUAUUUUCGAGAUGUUAGGUACUGCGUUAUGACUUACUAGACUAUCAAUGCUCCGAAUCUAGUAUAAUAUAAUUGGUAUCUUUUGUUUUCAAUUUGUAUCGAACAUUUUUUUAAAGAAAUUAUCAAAUUCAUACUAACCAUUUAGUCCUAACAUCCUCAUGGAAAAGACAGACAUAUGUUUUAAAGCCUUCUCAACCUUUUAUGAUUUAGUGUCGAACGUGACAGACAAAAUCCCAUAAACACGUGAAAUAUGCAAUGAAAAAUAAUCACAUUCGUUUGAUACGUUAGCCAUUAAAUAAUAUUGAAUGUAAAUAUUUGUAAAUGAUUUAUCAACAUAUCCUGUAACAAGUCAGGUAAAUGGCUAUUGUUAUAUGAUAGUUCGUUUCUGUGUGUGCUACAUUUUAAAGUUGUGUUACUCUUGUGUAAUAGUUCUCUUAUAUUUGAUACGUUUCCCUCAGUUUUAGUUUGUAACCCGGAUUUCUUUUUUCUCUAUCGAUUUGUGAAUUUCGAACACCGUUAUACUACUGUUGCCUUUAUUUAUUCAAAUAUCAAGAAAACAAUCACUUAGAUCUGUGGUGUUCAUUUUCCACUUUUUGAUGGUUUAAUUUUUUAGUAAUACCGCUGAAUGUAGCUAACAGGUUUCCUCAAAAACUGUUGAAUGUUUUUUGCAGCUUGAUUAAGCACGUCAAUUUUCUUUGUUGAGAACAAAUUCACUCGAGGAUGAAAAUAUUGAGGUAAAUUGUUUGUACGGAUGCAUUCAAAUAGACGUUCAGACAUUGAAAUUAGCCUUGUAGCCACAUGAUCUUCUGACCAUUCAGAAUCAUGGGGAUAUUCCUCACACUCCCAGAAAAGGAUAUUCAAUAAAUGGUAAGAUGUCAAUUCUUGUUUCAUGCUUUGAGGACACCACUCUUCCUUCAGGCUUUUUCAUAAUUUUUUCAGACAUCUUCCUACAAG